UACGUAGGGUGCGAGCGUUAAUCGGAAUUACUGGGCGUAAAGCGUGCGCAGGCGGUUCGUUGUGUCGGCGGUGAAAGCCCCGGGCUCAACCCUGGAACUGCCUUUGAUACUGACGAUCUGGAGAUCGGGAGAGGUUGGUGGAAUUCCGAGUGUAGAGGUGAAAUUCGUAGAUAUUCGGAGGAACACCAGAAGCGAAGGCGGCCAACUGGCCCGAUACUGACGCUGAGGCGCGAAAGCGUGGGGAGCAAACAGG
rnacentral:rRNA from 1 species